rnacentral:rRNA from 1 species
CGCGUAGGUGGUAGUGCAAGUCUGGGGUGGAAUCCUAUGGCUUAACCAUAGAAUUGCCUUGGAAACUGUAUUACUUGAGUCAGUGAGGGGAGGGUAGAAUUCCUGGUGUAGCGGUGAAAUGCGUAGAUAUCAGGAGGAAGGCCUGUGGCGAAGGCGGCCCUCUGGCGCUGAGCUGACACUGAGGCGCGAAAGCGUGGGGAGCAAACAGGAUUAGAUACCCUGGUAGUCCACGCCCUAAACGGUGGGUACUAGGUGUAGGGCUCGUAAGGGUUCUGUGCCGAAGCGAAAGCAUUAAGUACCCCGCCUGGGGAGUACGGCCGCAAGGUUGAA